GGUGCCCAGGCCACAUCAGCAACUGGAGCGUUGAGCUCAAAUGUGAACAUGGGAGUGCUGGAAAAAAAACAAAAAAACAUUUCAGACAAGCGCUCAUUGGUCUUACUUGACAGUAUGGUCCCAGAUCUUGAUGGUCCAGUCUGAGCUGCAAGAGAUGAAAACCUUUGGGUGUGCCAACGACAAAAAGAGAGUCGGUCUGUUUGUGGAAGUCAAAGCAUGUACCGCCAACUGGAGACAAGAAUGAUG